UACGGAGGGGGCUAGCGUUGUUCGGAAUUACUGGUCGUAAAGCGCACGUAGGCGGCUCGUUAAGUCAGAGGUGAAAGCCCGGAGCUCAACUCCGGAAUUGCCUGUGAAACUGGCGAGCUUGAACAUCGAAGAGGUAAGCGGAAUUCCUAGUGUAGAGGUGAAAUUCGUAGAUAUUAGGAGGAUCACCAGUGGCGAAGGUGGCUUACUGGCCAUAUACUGACACUCAGACGCGAAAGCCUGGCGAUCAAAGAGG
rnacentral:rRNA from 1 species